rnacentral:rRNA from 1 species
UCCUGACUGACCGAUAGUGAACCAGUACCGUGAGGGAAAGGCGAAAAGAACCCCGGCGAGGGGAGUGAAAAAGAACCUGAAACCGUGUACGUACAAGCAGUGGGAGCACGCUUAGGCGUGUGACUGCGUACCUUUUGUAUAAUGGGUCAGCGACUUAUAUUCUGUAGCAAGGUUAACCGAAUAGGGGAGCCGAAGGGAAACCGAGUCUUAACUGGGCGUUAAGUUGCAGGGUAUAGACCCGAAACCCGGUGAUCUAGCCAUGGGCAGGUUGAAGGUUGGGUAACACUAACUGGAGGACCGAACCGACUAAUGUUGAAAAAUUAGCGGAUGACUUGUGGCUGGGGGUGAAAGGCCAAUCAAACCGGGAGAUAGCUGGUUCUCCCCGAAAGCUAUUUAGGUAGCGCCUCGUGAAUUCAUCUCCGGGGGUAGAGCACUGUUUCGGCAAGGGGGUCAUCCCGACUUACCAACCCGAUGCAAACUGCGAAUACCGGAGAAUGUUAUCACAGGAGACACACGGCGGGUGCUAACGUCCGUCGUGAAGAGGGAAACAACCCAGACCGCCAGCUAAGGUCCCAAAGUCAUGGUUAAGUGGGAAACGAUGUGGGAAGGCCCA